rnacentral:rRNA from 1 species
CCCUUAGAUGUUCUGGGCCGCACGCGUGCUACACUGACCGGCGCAACAAGUUUCUUUCCUUGGCUCGAUAGGCCUGGGUAAUCUUUGAACGCCGGUCGUGAUGGAGAUAGAUCCUUGCAAUUUUUGAUCUUCAACGAGGAAUUCCUAGUAAAUGCGAGUCAUCAUCUCGCGUUGAUUACGUCCCUGCCCUUUGUACACACCGCCCGUCGCACCUACCGAUUGAAUGGUCCGGUGAAGCCUCGGGAUUGCGAAUGCUUCGUGCGGACGCGAGAACUUGGCUAAACCUUACCAUUUAGAGGAAGGUGAAGUCGUAACA